GUCCCUUCAGGGAUAUUUGAUAAAAAUGGAACGAUACAGAGGAGAUUAGCAUGGAUCCCUGCGCAAGGAUGACAUGCACAAAGCAAGUUACAGAGUCUC